UUUUAAAGGCUGGGCUGAUUUGGCAAAAAAGAAAAACAAUUACAUCUGCAGUAGUUUAGUGAUGUGUCCUAGACCUCCAGUUAUCACAGAGGCUUUGUCAUUCCUUUUCCUUCACAGGAGAGUAAUUACACAAUGUAUACUCACCCUUUUCCUUUCUGUUCUCACAGAGCGCUGUCAUUUCUCAGAAGAGUAUUAGCCCAGUGCAAAAGAUGUCAAAUAGUUGUCUAUCUUUUCUUUAACAUUUAAAUUGUAUUUAACAAAUCUUUGAGGUGUUCCAGUGAUGGGUGGGUGUUGUUGUUCUUCAGACCUGGCAGGCAGGUAAAAAUAGGGAAGAGCACAAUAUCUGACCCAAUGCUAAACUGAAGGGCAAAGGCAGUGCUGGUUGGCCAAUGGCAGAGAUUAGAAGAGUUUGAAACUGUUCAUCAGCUGCUUGGGCUGAAGCUGCAGAACUCAUUUAACCCCAAACUUCGGGGAGCUCAUGUGUCCUCUAUAUGUGUUACACACUGUACGAUGGUACCAAUAAAUAACAGUUUUGCUCAUCUCCAUUUGUCCAGGAGCUACUAUUCUUUUGCGAUGUGUCUGUUUGUACUCUCCUUUGCCAUACCAUCUGCCAUAACAAGCCACAGGCCUGAGCCCAGCAUUUCUGAAAAACUGCCUCCAGUUUUGAGGUGGAGAAUGACUUCUCUGCUGCCAUUUUAAUGUUCUUCUGUAUGGGAGAAAAGGUCACUAUGGAAUCUGGACCUAGACCAUGAAAUCAUCAGCCCACAGGAACUGUGGGUUAUCUCAACCUUUGGCACCUCUAAUACAAGCACAGAGGAAUGAGGACAUUCAGAAAAACAUCCUAAAAACUCUGAAAGCACUCAGUCAAACCAGAAUAUUACAGAAGUUGGUUUUUCUUCUGGGAAAGGAAAGACAAAACAUACGCACCAUAUAAUAAUCAUGUGACUUAAUGUUCUCCUGCAAUCGUGUGCAGCUUCUGAGAGGACAAAAGCAGUAUAAAAAAAAUAAACUGUGGAUAAUAGAACAGAUUGGACAGCACUGUUCACUAAAUUCACAGAACCAUUUUGAUUAACCUGAAGAAGAGGAUGGGUGAGAUGUGCACAGAGGCAUUUCUAGCAGUUUUUAUUUUUUCUCCAGAUUGGAAUCAGAACUUCAGUCAACAGGAAAAGCUAAAUGAGACAGCUGCAGAGGACACAGCUGAGAAGAAAUUCUCACAUAUGCUCAGAGAGAAGUGUGUGGUCUUUGAAGCAGUGACAUUGUCAAAAAAAAAAAAAAUUAAAAAAAUCCCACGGGGAUUGUGACUCCCUAAGGCUCAGCACAGUGUGGGCACCAUCAGGACUGAGGAUCAGGCCAUGUCCACAGGCUGGCUGCAGGUUUGGAUGGUAAUUUCCUGCUUCAUAAGGGCAACAGGAUGAGAGUCACUGCAGGCGUAUUGCCCCGAGCAUGCCCUGCACGCAGAUAAUGACACUGCUGAGGCAGCUGAGCCCUCCCAUUUCCUUCGGCGAAUAAACACCUCUGCUUCCUCUUGAUUCUCCCAACAGAUAUUUGGCUACAGAGCUUCUCAAUUUCCUCAUGAGAGAUGAAGAAAAGUCUAGGUUUUUCCCAGUUGCGCAUAUCCCCCCAAUUAUAAUCUUGGCAUGCAUCAAGACAUGAUUUCCUCUUUCAUCAGCUAGACCUUUGCAGAAGAAUCCCCUGGCUCCUGAGCUGCCAGCAAACACUCUCUUGGAUUUACCUUGGCUUGAGAGAGGGCAUGGCAUACUGGAAAGCUAUGUGCCGGUGCCUCAUCAAUGACUAAGAGUAAGCUUCAAUCUAAAGGCAGCAGGAGGACACUUCUUGGUUUUACCCCACUCACACCCUUGACAUUUCAGCAGCAGUUCCCUGUCUCCCACCUUCACUCACCUCUGGUCCCUUUUCCACAAGAGUUGGACAGCAGAGACAUUGCCAAGGCCUUUGCUGCACCAAACCUAUAGCUGUAACACCAGUAAAGCCACAUGCACAGUGAAGGACAGCCAUGACAUUUUUUUCUGAAGCCUCUACAUGUGCAGACACUCUGAAGGAGAACCCAUGACAGCUUGACACCAUCUUCCUCCCGGGAGCCAGUGCCACUGACACUAGCCUCCUCUUGGGAACAGCAAGGACAACAGAGCCUCAUCUUCAGGGGACAAAUGGAGUCUGGGGAUGUAAGUGCUUCAGCUGGAAUCCCUUCAGGCACCUUUUGAUUUCUCAUGAUCUCCCAGUUUUGACCAUCAAUGCACAUAACUGAAGAAUGGCCUAAUAAUUAGGUAAGUAUCAAACACCUAGAUAGAAUCAUAGAACCAAAGAAUCAUUAAGGUUGGAAAGACCAAUAAGAUCGUCUAGUCCAAUCAUCAACCCAUGUCUGUGACUACUCCAUACCACAUUCCCCAGUGGACAUCUACCCUAUUCUUGAACAACUCCAUGGAUGGUGACUAUUCCAAUGCGUCACCACCCUUCCUGAGAAGAAGUUUUUCCUAAUACCCAACAUGAUCCUCCCGUGGUGCAACAUGAGGCCAUUCCCUCUUGUCGUAUUGCUGUUACUUGGGAGAUCAUGGCUGGCUACCAACAGACUUAAAUUGCACUCAGAGGAUUUCUUGAAGUUUUCGGAGAUGAUCAAAACUCCUGAAGUGGCCCAAGAGCUCAGUGUUUAAUGCAGGUUAGCAGGACUUGAUGUGUAUAGUGGAUGGACCAUUUAGGAAAUUGUCCCAGAAGUCUUUGUUCUGCCCCUCAGUAUGCUGCCAGCACGUAUUGAUGGAAAAAAAAAAAACACCAUCUAUUCAGAAGAGGGAACAAUCAGGCCUUGAAUAACCAUUCUUAAUGAAUUCUGAAAUAACUAAACCAUAUACUCCAUUAAUUACUGCUCUCCAGAAGACAUAUUUUAACAGCAUGAAUGCAAAAAUCAGAGUGUACACGAAUGCAAGAAAUAUUUGUUCCCCUGGGCCAAAAGCUGCUUUCAGUUACACCCAAGAAACCACAUUAAAGCCUCUUGCUUGCAGGGUGCCAAGCCAUCCUGCCCAGCUCUGAAUCCCAUUUGCUGCUGUUGACAUCAGCAAGCAUAGCAGACGCCCACGAUGGUGGCUCAGUGCUUUCCAGACAAAGCAUCAGUGACCCAGAAUGGCGAUGCACGUGUGUGUGUGCUGACUUCUGCAUCCAUCACCCCAUUUGUGUUGGUGGCAUCUGGACUCAAGCCUACAGGAUACAGGGAGACAGUCCCUGCAGCAGAGCUUGACUCAGUCCACUGUCUAUUUUGGCACUAGAAGUUAGCUUCUGCCUUCUCAGAGAUGAUUAAUUUUGAUAAUUGGCUUUGCUUUUUUUGUGAUUUCUGGACAAUGCUGCUGUUAAUGAAAGUGAGAGAAGAGGAGGUGUAGCUGAAGUCAGAGCUGCACACAGCUGAGCACCUCUCCUCACAGCAUCUCCAUCCUGACCCAAAAACCACACUGCCUGAAACACAAAGACAGGGUCUCUGGCAAACAGGGGAUUGUUCUAACCCACCGCACCACCUAGUGACAGCACAUUUAAAAACACCCAAUUCCCCCCCACCCAUGCAUUUUAUUCCAAAACGUCCUAAAUAUUUGCUCUUUAAACAGCCCAUUUCCACACUCAGUCUCCACUUAAAAUGCUUGUUCUGUUUUGUUUUGCUUUAUUCUGGGGGCCUCCCAAGGGCAGUGUCCAGCAAAAUGGCUGGGGAACAGGGCUCCAGCCAUGAGCUGUCCUUUCUGAUGCUGUGUUCCCACUUUGCUAUUUCAUGACCAACUCUGCUGAAAUGAUGCAUGACAAUUUGUAGAUCCCUGAACAGACCAGCUUUCUACCCAAAUACGUGAGUAGAAAAAGUGUAUUGCUAAACACAACAAAAGGAGUGAGCAAUGGAAUAAAAACACAGGCUAAUGCUCAGGGAUGGCAACAUGCUCAACUGAUGCCUCCAAGUUUAUGCACUUAGAAUAAUAAGUGCAUUGUCAGGACCUCACCUCCCCCUGGUCAGUCAUGUGGGGCCUUUUGAAUUUGGCAUUUUAAUCAUGUUUUGGUGAGAGAAACGUGCAAGAAACAAAUGUUAACUUUCUGGCUGAUCACAGUAGGGAUGAGUAUAUGCUACCUCUGGACCAAAAAUCUGGAAGCACAUGGGUAUCUUUCAUAAGAUACCAACAUGUGCAAAACAAACAAACAAACAAACAAACAAAUAAGAUAAUCUUGCAGGCAGUGUCACUGCUGAACUUGCUACUGCUAAUGAACAAUAUUUGUUUGGGAUCUAGUACUCCUUGGAGACUGCUGAGCUGCCCGAAUAGCUGAGCCUCUUUCGAAAGGCACUCCCUUUGUUUUCAAACACACUGCAUACUGAGGCAGCACUUUCAGCCUUGGAGAAACACUUCAUCUGCACACUUUAACUUUUCAUUUAUAGAGCUAUGAUCUUAUCAUUUUCUUUAAUGAAAAGAAAAAUCCCAGCUAUUCAGGUGAUAGCUCUAUUAGAGAUGUUAAUGAAUACAAAAAGUCCAUUAUCUCAGAAUGGAAUUUUUUUUUUUUUCAGGCAAAAAUCUAUUGCUUCACUGACAGACAAAAAGCUGUCUUCAAUUUAUUAUAAGAAUUGCUAGGAGAAAUAAUCUCCCUCCAUUAGUUUUAUUCUUUUAAUCAUGAAAAUAUUCCUAUAAUUAUCAUUAUGUAGAAUCAUUUGCAUUCAAAAAAACUUAAAGCUGUGUCUAAAUUACCAGGCAAACUCUAUAUUCAUACAUUUAUGGGCUGUGCUGCCAGAAAGAAAAAAUAAUUAACUUCUCAGUAAAAAUCCUAAUGAUGUUAAUUUUAUUACAGCAGAUCAUGCCAGUAUACGAGAAGAUUAAUUCCAAUAUUGUACAUUUGUUUUCUCAUUGUCUUAUUAAAAAAACACAGGAUGUA